rnacentral:rRNA from 1 species
GACGAACGCUGGCGGCGUGCCUAAUACAUGCAAGUCGAACGCAGUGGGGACGGGUGAGUAACACGUGGGUAACCUCCCAUCAGAGGGGAUAACCCUUGGAAACAGGUGCUAAACCGAUACUGAUGGAUGGACCCGCGGUGCAUUAGCUAGUUGGGGGGGUAACGGCUCACCAAGGCCACGAUGCCUAGCCGGCCUGAGAGGGUGAUCAGCCACACGGGGACUGAGACACGGCCCAGACUCCUACGGGAGGCAGCAGUAGGGAAUAUUCGGCAAUGGGCGAAAGUCUGACCGAGCAAGGCCGCGUGAGUGAAGAAGGUUUUCGGAUCGUAAAACUCUGUUGUUAGAGAAGCGGUAUCUAACCAGAAAGCCACGGCUAACUACGUGCCAGCAGCCGCGGUAAUUC